rnacentral:rRNA from 1 species
UCAAGUGUCUUAAGGGCAAUUGGUGGAUGCCUUGGCAUGCACAGGCGAUGAAGGACGUGAUACGCUGCGAUAAGCUACGGGGAGGUGCGAAUACCCUUUGAUCCGUAGAUUUCCGAAUGGGGAAACCCACCUAAGGUACUUGGAAAAUCAGAGCAGCAGGGCAACUUGCUGCUGUGGUUUCCAAGUAUCGACAAUAGGUAACUUAUCCUGAAUACAUAGGGAUAAAGUGGCGAACGCGGGGAACUGAAACAUCUAAGUACCCGUAGGAAAGGACAUCAACCGAGACUCCGGAAGUAGUGGCGAGCGAACCCGGACCAGGCCAGUGGCGAUGAUGAGACAAGCGGAACCUUCUGGAAAGUAGGGCCAUAGUGGGUGACAGCCCCGUACGCGUAAUGCAAAUCAUCGUCCUCGAGUAAGGCGGGACACGUGAAAUCCUGUCUGAAAUUGGGGGGACCACCCUCCAAGCCUAAGUACUCGUGCAUGACCGAUAGCGAACUAGUACCGUGAGGGAAAGGUGAAAAGCACCCCGACAAGGGGAGUGAAAUAGUACCUGAAACCGAUUGCCUACAAACAGUGGAAGCCCAAGGUUCGUCCUGGGUGACCACGUACCUUUUGUAUAAUGGGUCAGCGACUUAGUGUGACGAGCAAGCUUAAACCGUUAGGUGUAGGCGCAGCGAAAGCGAGUCUGAAUAGGGCGUUCAGUUCGUCGCAUUAGACCCGAAACCGAGUGAUCUAGCCAUGAGCAGGUUGAAGGUAAGGUAACACUUACUGGAGGACCGAACCCAUAACUGUUGCAAUAGUUCGGGAUGACUUGUGGCUAGGGGUGAAAGGCCAAUCAAACUCGGAAAUAGCUGGUUCUCCGCGAAAUCUAUUUAGGUAGAGCGUCGACCGAAUACCCCAGGGGGUAGAGCACUGGAUGGGCUAGGGGUCCUCACCGGAUUACCAAACCUAACCAAACUCCGAAUACCUGGGAGUAAUAGUCGGCAGACACACGGCGGGUGCUAACGUCCGUCGUGAAAAGGGAAACAACCCUGACCUACAGCUAAGGUCCCCAAGUUAUGGCUAAGUGGGAAAGGAUGUGAGGAUCCCAAAACAACCAGGAUGUUGGCUUAGAAGCAGCCAUCAUUUAAAGAAAGCGUAACAGCUCACUGGUCUAAAUAAGGGUCUUUGCGCCGAAAAUGUAACGGGGCUAAAGCCAUACACCGAAGCUUAGGGUUCGUAGCAAUACGAGCGGUAGCGGAGCGUUCUGUAAGCUGAUGAAGCCAUACCCGUGAGGGGUGGUGGAGGUAUCAGAAGUGCGAAUGCUGACAUGAGUAACGUAAGGGGAGUGAGAGACUCCCCCGCCGAAAGACCAAGGGUUCCUGCUUAAAGCUAAUCUGAGCAGGGUUAGCCGGCCCCUAAGACGAGGCGGAAACGCGUAGUCGAUGGGAACCACGUUAAUAUUCGUGGGCCUGGAGGUAGUGACGGAUCAUUGAGGUAGUCCAAUCUUAUCGGAUUGAACGGGCUGCUGCGUGGUUCCAGGAAAUAGCUCCUCCUUAUAGACCGUACCCGAAACCGACACUGGUGGUCUGGUAGAGUAUACCAAGGCGCUUGAGAGAACUAUGCUGAAGGAACUCGGCAAAUUGCACGCGUAACUUCGGAAGAAGCGUGACCCUUUUCUGCGCAAGCAGAGGAGGGUGGCACAGACCAGGGGGUAGCGACUGUUUAUCAAAAACACAGGGCUCUGCGAAGUCGCAAGACGACGUAUAGGGUCUGACGCCUGCCCGGUGCUGGAAGGUUAAGAGGAGGGGUGCAAGCUCUGAAUCGAAGCCCCAGUAAACGGCGGCCGUAACUAUAACGGUCCUAAGGUAGCGAAAUUCCUUGUCGGGUAAGUUCCGACCUGCACGAAUGGCGUAACGACUUCCCCGCUGUCUCCAGCAUAGACUCAGUGAAAUUGAAUUCCCCGUGAAGAUGCGGGGUUCCUGCGGUUAGACGGAAAGACCCCGUGCACCUUUACUAUAGCUUUACAUUGGCAUUCGUAGUGGCAUGUGUAGGAUAGGUGGUAGGCUUUGAAACCUGGGCGCCAGCUCAGGUGGAGCCACCCUUGAAAUACCACCCUUAUUACUAUGGAUGUCUAACCGCGACCCGUUAUCCGGGUCCGGGACAAUGUAUGGUGGGUAGUUUGACUGGGGCGGUCGCCUCCUAAAGAGUAACGGAGGCGCGCGAUGGUGGGCUCAGAACGGUCGGAAAUCGUUCGCUGAGUGCAAUGGCAUAAGCCUGCCUGACUGCGAGACUGACAAGUCGAGCAGAGACGAAAGUCGGUCAUAGUGAUCCGGUGGUCCCGCGUGGAAGGGCCAUCGCUCAACGGAUAAAAGGUACGCCGGGGAUAACAGGCUGAUGACCCCCAAGAGUCCAUAUCGACGGGGUUGUUUGGCACCUCGAUGUCGACUCAUCGCAUCCUGGGGCUGGAGCAGGUCCCAAGGGUAUGGCUGUUCGCCAUUUAAAGCGGUACGUGAGUUGGGUUCAGAACGUCGUGAGACAGUUCGGUCCCUAUCUGCCGUGGGUGUAGGAAUAUUGAAAGGAUCUGUCCCUAGUACGAGAGGACCGGGAUGGACGGAUCUCUGGUGGACCUGUUGUGGCGCCAGCCGCAUAGCAGGGUAGCUAUAUCCGGACGGGAUAACCGCUGAAGGCAUCUAAGCGGGAAACCCACCUUAAAACGAGUAUUCCCUGAGAACCGUGGAAGACGACCACGUUGAUAGGCCGGGUGUGGAAGAGCGGCAACGCUUGAAGCUUACCGGUACUAAUAGUUCGAUCGGCUUGAUCGU